rnacentral:rRNA from 1 species
AACAGGAUUAGAUACCCUGGUAGUCCCACGCCCUAAACGAUGUCUACUAGUUGUCGGGUUUUAAUUAACUUGGUAACGCAGCUAACGCGUGAAGUAGACCGCCUGGGGAGUACGGUCGCAAGAUUAAAACUCAAAGGAAUUGACGGGGACCCGCACAAGCGGUGGAUGAUGUGGAUUAAUUCGAUGCAACGCGAAAAACCUUACCUACCCUUGACAUGUCAGGAAUCCCGAAGAGAUUUGGGAGUGCUCGAAAGAGAGCCUGAACACAGGUGCUGCAUGGCUGUCGUCAGCUCGUGUCGUGAGAUGUUGGGUUAAGUCCCGCAACGAGCGCAACCCUUGUCAUUAGUUGCUACGAAAGGGCACUCUAAUGAGACUGCCGGUGACAAACCGGAGGAAGGUGGGGAUGACGUCAAGUCCUCAUGGCCCUUAUGGGUAGGGCUUCACACGUCAUACAAUGGUACAUACAGAGGGCCGCCAACCCGCGAGGGGGAGCUAAUCCCAGAAAGUGUAUCGUAGUCCGGAUUGUAGUCUGCAACUCGACUACAUGAAGUUGGAAUCGCUAGUAAUCGCGGAUCAGCAUGUCGCGGUGAAUACGUUCCCGGGUCUUGUACACACCGCCCGUCACACCAUGGGAGCGGGUUUUACCAGAAGUAGGUAGCUUAACCGCAAGGAGGGCGCUUACCACGGUAGGAUUCGUGACUGGGGUGAAGUCGUAACAAGGUAACC